rnacentral:rRNA from 1 species
AAUGAACGCUAGCGGCAGGCCUAAUACAUGCAAGUCGAGCGGCAAGUUGAGAAGCAAUUCGAGACCUAGAGCGGCGUACGGGUGCGUAACGCGUAUGCAACCUACCUCAUACAGGGGGAUAGCCCGGAGAAAUCUGGAUUAAUACCCCAUAGUACAUAUAGAGGGCAUCUGAAAUAUGUUAAAGAUUCAUCGGUAUGAGAUGGGCAUGCGUCUGAUUAGCUAGUUGGCGGGGUAACGGACCACCAAGGCGACGAUCAGUAGGGGUUCUGAGAGGAAGGUCCCCCACACUGGCACUGAGAUACGGGCCAGACUCCUACGGGAGGCAGCAGUAGGGAAUAUUGGGCAAUGGUCGGAAGACUGACCCAGCCAUGCCGCGUGCAGGAAGAAGGCCCUCUGGGUUGUAAACUGCUUUUAUCUGGGAAGAAAAGGCCCGUGCGCGGGACAUUGCCGGUACCAGAUGAAUAAGCACCGGCUAACUCCGUGCCAGCCGCCGCAGUAAGAC